rnacentral:rRNA from 1 species
AGCAUAUCAAUAAGCGGAGGAAAAGAAACUAACAAGGAUUCCCCUAGUAACUGCGAGUGAAGCGGGAAAAGCUCAAAUUUAAAAUCUGGCGGUCUCUGGCCGUCCGAGUUGUAAUCUAGAGAAGUGAUGCCCGCGCUGGACCGUGUACAAGUCUCCUGGAAUGGAGCGUCAUAGAGGGUGAGAAUCCCGUCUCUGACACGGACUACCAGGGCUUUGUGGUAUCCUCUCAAAGAGUCGAGUUGUUUGGGAAUGCAGCUCUAAAUGGGUGGUAAAUUCCAUCUAAAGCUAAAUAUUGGCGAGAGACCGAUAGCGAACAAGUACCGUGAGGGAAAGAUGAAAAGAACUUUGGAAAGAGAGUUAAACAGUACGUGAAAUUGCUGAAAGGGAAACGCUUGAAGUCAGUCGCGUUGGCCAGGAAUCAGCCUCGCUCUUGCGUGGUGUACUUUUUGGUUGACGGGUCAGCAUCAAUUUUGACUGCUGGAAAAAGGCUUAGGGAAUGUGGCAGCUUCGGCUGUGUUAUAGCCCUUUGUCACAUACAGCGGUUGGGAUUGAGGAACUCAGCACGCCGCAAGGCCGGGUUUCGACCACGUUCGUGCUUAGGAUGCUGGCAUAAUGGCUUUAAGCGACCCGUCUUGAAACACGGACCAAGGAGUCUAACAUGCCUGCGAGUGUUUGGGUGGUAAACCCGAGCGCGUAAUGAAAGUGAAAGUUGAGAUCCCUGUCGUGGGGAGCAUCGACGCCCGGACCAGAGCUUUUGUGACGGAUCCGCGGUAGAGCAUGUAUGUUGGGACCCGAAAGAUGGUGAACUAUGCCUGAAUAGGGUGAAGCCAGAGGAAACUCUGGUGGAGGCUCGUAGCGAUUCUGACGUGCAAAUCGAUCGUCAAAUUUGGGUAUAGGGGCGAAAGACUAAUCGAACCAUCUAGUAGCUGUU